UUUAGCCCAAAAAAAGGACCACAUCUACCUCCAGAAGAGGUGAACAGAGUUUGUCAGUGGCCUCUCAGGAUGAGACUUCAACCUCAUUCCCACAACCUCACCCUAAAGAUGUCUCAGUUUUGGAUGGACUUGUUUGGAGACUUGAGAGACUCUGGAUACUUUAAUGGAAGCCAUGAACACCAAACUUUGCUGAGAUUCUGCAGGUGGACUUGGAUGAAUGUCGAGAUCUCUGGAACAAACACGGGAUACGGCCAAGUAGACCUGCAUUAUGUCCUGGAACAACACCCAAAUCUUGGUGCAUUUUAAAUUUCAAAGUUCAUAUUUUCCCUAAACAUAUCAUAUGAAUCUACUAGUGGUAGCUUCAUUAUAUUUACACACGUGUCUGUGACUGGAAAUGGUGAUUCACUUGUGAACUGGAUUUGUGGAGUUGGUGUCAUGCCUGCUGGUGGAAGUGCAGACCAAUGGCAAGACUGGGGCAUGAACACUGGAAUGUAGAAAUAAUUAAGUCUCUCUCUUUUUUUUUUCUUCUAAGUCAAGUAAUUAACAAACAAUCAUGGUAUAUCUCUCAAUAACAUUAGCGUGAAUCAAAUCAAACUUUAUUUUUAAAAACGCUUCUACUUGGAGCGCAUUACAUUUAAAAACAAAACAUACUCGGUAAAAGUCAUCAGUGUCAUGACAGGUUUCAGUUAAAAACAAGUUCAAUCAUGGUCUAAAAUCAGAUCAAUAAUGAUCAAGGACUUAUUUAAAAGUGAUCUGACAUUUAAAAUAGCCAUAUUCAUUGUUGUGGGUAGAAUGUGAUGUGAGCACGUAAUGGGGUUUGGUAGUUGGUGUUGUUGGAACUGGACAUCUGACAUGCAAGGCAUGUGAAUAUGAAUUAAAAUAAUUAGAAAAUCUAUUAGUAACGUGAACUGGUACUUGAUGCUGAGUGGCAGUUUAAUAUACCAGGGGUGUAGGUGUCCUGGUUCCACCGUCAGCUGUUAAUGGUUUGGAAAGAAUGUAGAGUGACACCUAUGUUAAGGCUGAGGAGACGAAACCAUUUUUGUUAGUAUGUAAACCACCUGUUUUGAAGAGGUAUGGUCUAUUGUAGAAUGUUGUGAAGUUAUCAAUGAACAGCAUGCUCAUGGGAUGAAAUAUGAAGCUGAUGGAUGCGUGAAAACAUGAUGUCUCCAUAACGGCGUGAAGGAAGUGGUCCAGAUAUGACCCAGUUUGUGUUUAACUGUUGAAUGUUUUGGAUGAGGUUAAUGAAGUCAAUUUUCAGAGUUUCAGAUUCCUGAAGUUUCAGGUUGUGCCUGCAUGUAUGAUGAAUGUCUCCACAGAGGGGUAUGUAGCAGUUAGUUGGUGGGCAGAGUUGUUAAUGUCAUUCACAACUGCUCCAGAGAGUGACCGAAUGUGGCACCCAGCAACCCGGACAUGCCGGACAACGUCUGUGAAAUGUCUUGAAAUUUGUUCUCAAUAUAAAAAUAAAAAAAUCCUUUUAUUUGCUUACUGUA